AUUGAACGCUGGCGGCAGGCUUAACACAUGCAAGUCGAGCGAGCGGCGGACGGGUGAUUAAUGUCUGGGAAACUUCCUGCUGGAUGGGGAUAACUACUGGAAACCGUAGCUAAUACCGCAUCCCAUCAGAUGUGCCCACAUGGGAUUAGCUAGUAGGUGGGGUAAUGGCUCACCGAGGCGACGAUCCGGAGCUGGUCUGAGAGGAUGACAAGCCAAACUGGAACUGAGACACGGUGCAGAGUCCAACGUGAGGCAGCAGUGGGGAAAAUUGCACAAUGGGCGCAAGCCAGAUGCAGCCAUGCCGCGUGAGUGAAGAAGGCCUUCGGGUUGUAAAGAAGUUGCAGAGAGGAGGGGUUACUCGCAGAAGAAGCACCGGCUAAAUACGUGCCAGCAGCCGCGGGAAUUC
rnacentral:rRNA from 1 species